rnacentral:rRNA from 1 species
GAGACACACGGCGGGUGCUAACGUCCGUCGUGAAGAGGGAAACAACCCAGACCGCCAGCUAAGGUCCCAAAGUCACAGUUAAGUGGGAAACGAUGUGGGAAGGCUCAGACAGCCAGGAUGUUGGCUUAGAAGCAGCCAUCAUUUAAAGAAAGCGUAAUAGCUCACUGGUCGAGUCGGCCUGCGCGGAAGAUGUAACGGGGCUAAACUGUGCACCGAAGCUGCGGCAGCGACGCUUAUGCGUUGUUGGGUAGGGGAGCGUUCUGUAAGCCUGCGAAGGUGUCCUGUGAGGGAUGCUGGAGGUAUCAGAAGUGCGAAUGCUGACAUAAGUAACGAUAA